GACGAACGCUGGCGGCGUGCUUAACACAUGCAAGUCGAACGGAAAGGCCCUGCUUUUGUGGGGUGCUCGAGUGGCGAACGGGUGAGUAACACGUGAGUAACCUGCCCUUGACUUUGGGAUAACUUCAGGAAACUGGGGCUAAUACCGGAUAGGAGCUCCUGCUGCAUGGUGGGGAUUGGAAAGUUUCGGCGGUUGGGGAUGGACUCGCGGCUUAUCAGCUUGUUGGUGGGGUAGUGGCUUACCAAGGCUUUGACGGGUAGCCGGCCUGAGAGGGUGACCGGCCACAUUGGGACUGAGAUACGGCCCAGACUCCUACGGGAGGCAGCAGUGGGGAAUAUUGCACAAUGGGCGGAAGCCUGAUGCAGCAACGCCGCGUGCGGGAUGACGGCCUUCGGGUUGUAAACCGCUUUCGCCUGUGACGAAGCGUGAGUGACGGUAAUGGGUAAAGAAGCACCGGCUAACUACGUGCCAGCAGCCGCGGUGAUACGUAGGGUGCGAGCGUUGUCCGGAUUUAUUGGGCGUAAAGGGCUCGUAGGUGGUUGAUCGCGUCGGAAGUGCAAUCUUGGGGCUUAACCCUGAGCGUGCUUUCGAUACGGGUUGACUUGAGGAAGGUAGGGGAGAAUGGAAUUCCUGGUGGAGCGGUGGAAUGCGCAGAUAUCAGGAGGAACACCAGUGGCGAAGGCGGUUCUCUGGGCCUUUCCUGACGCUGAGGAGCGAAAGCGUGGGGAGCGAACAGGCUUAGAUACCCUGGUAGUCCACGCUGUAAACGGUGGGUACUAGGUGUGGGGUCCAUUCCACGGGUUCCGUGCCGUAGCUAACGCUUUAAGUACCCCGCCUGGGGAGUACGGCCGCAAGGCUAAAACUCAAAGGAAUUGACGGGGCCCCGCACAAGCGGCGGAGCAUGCGGAUUAAUUCGAUGCAACGCGUAGAACCUUACCUGGGUUUGACAUGGAUCGGGAGUGCUCAGAGAUGGGUGUGCCUCUUUUGGGGUCGGUUCACAGGUGGUGCAUGGCUGUCGUCAGCUCGUGUCGUGAGAUGUUGGGUUAAGUCCCGCAACGAGCGCAACCCUUGUUCACUGUUGCCAGCACGUUAUGGUGGGGACUCAGUGGAGACCGCCGGGGUCAACUCGGAGGAAGGUGGGGAUGACGUCAAGUCAUCAUGCCCCUUAUGUCCAGGGCUUCACGCAUGCUACAAUGGCUGGUACAGAGAGUGGCGAGCCUGUGAGGGUGAGCGAAUCUCGGAAAGCCGGUCUCAGUUCGGAUUGGGGUCUGCAACUCGACCUCAUGAAGUCGGAGUCGCUAGUAAUCGCAGAUCAGCAACGCUGCGGUGAAUACGUUCCCGGGGCU
rnacentral:rRNA from 1 species